AUCGGGGAGCAUAGAAAAAGAAUGGUAAGUCUGUUAAACAUGUUGUAAGUGAAUUUAAUUCAAUUGCUCAUUUAUGUUUAUAUUUUGUAGGCAGAUAAAUUGGGGACGAAAUCGACAUAUACAGCUACAUUUGAACGCACAUUUCAAAAAAAAGAUAAAACAUGGACUGGCGAUCGAGCAAAAGCUAUUAAGGUAACGGGUGGGAUGAAAAGAGGAAAAAUAUCUGCUGCAACUUCAUCCUCCAAUGCGGCUGUUUCAAGGAUUACACGAUUUAAGGAGCAAAUGACCCAAAAAUUGAGCCAACUGAAUCAUUUAUUUGUAAAGCAGGACGAAGAAAUAAGAGUGCUCCAACAACAAAUGAAAUUAGUCUUGCGACACCUCAACCUGGAUCACGAUGAGGUUCCUCCUGUACCUCCGACUAAUCCAAUAGGUGAUGGGCAUAAUGAUGAGUGACAUGAUGAUGAUGACAUUGCUGAUGAUGAUGAUGAUUUUGUCAGUCCUUGCUAGUUAAAGUUUCCAUUUUCAUAUCAUUAUAAUAUUUUUAAGCACUCAAUUUUGAGCACUAUGUAUUUCAUCAUCAUAUCAUUAUGUAUUUAAGCACUAAUUUUUUAUGUUA